UCCUGGGGUUCCUCCUUGUAAAGGAAGCUAAGCAGGGUUGGGUCUGAUUAGUACUUGGAUGAGAGACCACCUGGGAAUACCAGGUGCUGUAGGCU
ensembl:rRNA 5S_rRNA 5S ribosomal RNA